rnacentral:lncRNA from 1 species
UCUACUUAUGAGUUCUAUAUGAAUUGACAAAAGUCUAGAGAAUCCUUUCUUGAAGAAAAGGAAGAUCACAUUACAAUGAUAUAAGUAAUAAGAAAAACGUUUCUUAUAUGGUUAUCACUUGAAACACAAUGACCAAGAUCACUCUUGAUUCAAUUAGUAGUUUUGAACAAUUAAUUGGGCAUUCUUAAAAUUGUUUUAAAAUGUCAAUUGUGUUAGUAAUUAAACCAAGAAAGAAGUGUCUAAAUCUAUAAAAUUGUUUAACGACUUUAGUCACUUAAUAACAAGACAUUAACUUAGUGAAGAUUGAAACAAAUAAGCUUGAAAUGUUUCAAAGCUACUACACAAUGUCUUCUACCAAUAUAA